GCCCAGAUAGCUUAAACCAAAAGCACCGGCCUUGUAAACCGAAGAUUGUAGAUUAAACCCUGCUCAGGGCC
rnacentral:tRNA from 1 species